UUAAUUGAAACCAAAGAGAGGUAUAUCACUGUUAAUGAUAUUAAUGAACUACAGUUCCAAUUAAA
rnacentral:tRNA from 1 species